rnacentral:rRNA from 1 species
GACGAACGCUGGCGGCGUGCUUAACACAUGCAAGUCGAACGGGAUUUAGUAGACAGCAGCCUCGGCUAAAGAUUACUAAUGAGAGUGGCGAACGGGUGAGUAACGCGUGAGCAACCUGCCUAUGACAGUGGGAUAGCCUCGGGAAACCGGGAUUAAUACCGCAUAAAAUCGUAGAAACACAUGUUUCAACGGUCAAAGAUUUAUCGGUCAUAGAUGGGCUCGCGUCUGAUUAGCUAGUUGGUGAGAUAACAGCCCACCAGGGCGACGAUCAGUAGCCGGUCAGAGAGGGAACGCGCACACUGGGAAUGAGACACAGGCCCAAAACCCACGCGAGGGGGAAGAGGGGAAAAUAGAACAAAGGGGGAGAAACCCAGACAGCGCGACCGCGCGAAAACAAAAGGGGUACUCAUCUCAAAAAUUUCUCCCAUAGGAGAAUAAAAAGACAACCACAUAGAAAAACUCCCCCUAAAAAUGC